GACGAACGCUGGCGGCGUGCUUAACACAUGCAAGUCGAACGGAAAGGCCCUGCUUUUGUGGGGUGCUCGAGUGGCGAACGGGUGAGUAACACGUGAGUAACCUGCCCUUGACUUUGGGAUAUCUUCAGGAAACUGGGGCUAAUACCGGAUAGGAGCUCCUGCUGCAUGGCGGGGGUUGGAAAGUUUCGGCGGUUGGGGAUGGACUCGCGGCUUAUGAGCUUGUUGGUGGAGUAGUGGCUUACCAAGGCUUUGACGGGUAGCCGGCCUGAGAGGGUGACCGGCCACAUGGGGACUGAGAUACGGCACAGACUCCUACGGGAGGCAGCAGUGGGGAAUAGUGCACAAUGGGCGGAAGUCGGAUGCAGCAACGCCGCGUGCGGGAUGACGGCCUUCUGGUUGUAAACCGCUUUCGCCUGUGACGAAGCGUGAGUGACGGUAAUGGGUAAAGAAGCACCGGCUAACUACGUG
rnacentral:rRNA from 1 species